AAGAAAGAAAGAAGAAAAGGGACAGGGGAAACAGAAAAAGGAGAGCAUCAACUCCUGAAGAUGGAAUUGGUCAAGAGGAUGGACAAUCACCAAGAGAGGAAUCUGAGGGUAUAUAGGUGCCGCAUUGUGGAUCUAGAUAUAAAGCAUGCAACAUCUUUCUAUGAGCAAGUGACAAUCGUUCCUAUCAUCUAAUCUGGAGAAUCUUGUAUUGAAAAUGAAAAAUGGCAUCUGUACACCAAAAUUUGCCUCCACAUUUUUGGAAUAAACUCAGCACUAUCAAUAUUAUAUGGGUUACUUUCAACUAUGUUUUAAUUUCUAUUAUUCAAUUUUCAGAAUGAAUAACUGUUUUUGUUUUCAUUCCUCCUCUCCUGCUGUAACCAGUAUAUGGUUUUCUCAUACGUCAUAACAGUUCUUAUCUGUUGGAAUCUCUCCACUUUAUUUGUAAUACGUUUAUUCAAGUUCAAGAUGUAUAUUCUGCCUGCCUGCCUUCUCCAGUACUGGUCAAGGACUAUAUUUGUAGAAUUCAAUUCAAAAUGAACUGGAAUAACUUCAUGACUCUUCUGUUCCAUUUUUGCUGAUGUGCUCACCAUCUUCAGUGUUUUAUGAAAGAUAACGUCAGGUAUUGGUGAGAAGAGAAAUCUUAUCUAGAUGAUGUUGGAGGACAUUAAAUUUACCAUUCUCUAUGAACUGAGAAACACAAUAAUGCCAAAGAGGAGAAAGAGCACUUGAAAAAUUACUUCAGCUCAAUUUGUUUUUGUGGUGUUGACAGAGAGGCCACAAGGUGUAUUUUUUUUAGACAGAUUACAGCCAAAGGGUUGCCUUGCUAUGCUAUUUAGAGAGAAAACCAGAUCCAUCAGAAGCUUCUCCAUUUUCCCAUAGGGAGAACUUCAGUUUCUUUUUGUAAAUGGAAAAGCUUUUAUUUUUAAGCACCACCAUGUGUGACGUCGGAUCUAGGUUAUUCCUCAGGAGACUAAUAUGCAUAGCUUAUCCCACCAUAGUAAUCCAACUGGGUUAUGAAGAAAAGGACCUGUAAACUCUC